rnacentral:rRNA from 1 species
UACGUAGGGUGCAAGCGUUAAUCGGAAUUACUGGGCGUAAAGCGUGCGCAGGCGGCUUUGCAAGACAGAUGUGAAAUCCCCGGGCUUAACCUGGGAACUGCAUUUGUGACUGCAUGGCUAGAGUGCGGCAGAGGGGGAUGGAAUUCCGCGUGUAGCAGCGAAAUGCGUAGAUAUGCGGAGGAACACCGAUGGCGAAGGCAAUCCCCUGGGCCUGCACUGACGCUCAUGCACGAAAGCGUGGGGAGCAAACAGG